rnacentral:lncRNA from 1 species
ACCCUGGUUCCAGAGGUUUAUUUUUAUUAUUAUCAUUGCGAAGGGGAGAGGAAAAAUAAACCUCUGGUUGAAAGCGGCAAUUGAUUCAUCGAGCCGCGCCAAUCAGUUUGAAUUAGGGUCAGAUCCCGACUCUGUCUCCUGAUUGGAUGAUUGUACUAAAGCUCUCUGAUUGAUUCAAAUAAAACAUCUAUAACCAAUCAGAGAGCUUUAAUACAAUCAUCCAAUCAGGAGACAGAGUCAG